ACGGGAGGCGCAGUGGGGAAUAUUGGGCAAUGGGCGAAAGCCUGACCCAGCAACGCAGCGUGAAGGAAGAAGGUCUUCGGAUUGUAAACUUCUUUUAUCGGGAACGUAGGAAGUGACGGUACCUGAUGAAUAAGCCACGGCUAACUACGUGCCAGCAGCCGCGGUAAUACGUAGGUGGCAAGCGUUAUCCGGAUUUACUGGGUGUAAAGGGCGCGUAGGCGGGGAUGCAAGUCAGAUGUGAAAUCCAUGGGCUUAACUCAUGAACUGCAUUUGAAACUGUGUCUCUUGAGUGUCGGAGAGGUAGAUGGAAUUCCUAGUGUAGCGGUGAAAUGCGUAGAUAUUAGGAGGAACACCAGUGGCGAAGGCGAUCUACUGGACGAUAACUGACGCUGAGGCGCGAAAGCGUGGGGAGCGAACAGGAUUAGAUACCCUGGUA
rnacentral:rRNA from 1 species